GGGUGGAGACUGGGACAUGGGAAAAUCAUCUAGGGAAGGAUACCUUUACUGGAUCAGCAGCCUUCAGUUGGAGGAACACAGCCAGCUCCUGGUGACCCCACAGGGAGAGAGCGGGAGCACUAAGGAUUCCAAACUCAGUCCUCCUGAUCUUCAUCAGUAUUCGUCAUUGGCCAAACAAAUAACUGAAAUUCAGAGGGCAAGAGAGCUCAUUGUUAUCUAAACAGGUCAGCAUGGCAGACAGCGAGGCGAAGAGGGAAGGAAGGUGGAUUUGGAAGAACAAACGGGAGUGACCUAGUGCAGCCCUGAUAAACCCGAGGGACUGUGACCCCCACUUCUAGGAGGGGCUAUCCUCUUUCUGCUAACCUUCAGCCUGCUGUGCAUUCCUGUUAGAAGUCAUAGCUACUGUCAUUUGUGCUGGUGGAACUAGGAAAGCAGUGUUCCUCUCAAGAUAUUAUGGGGUCCCAGGGAGAUGCAGUGUCCAGGGAAGCAGAGGCAGCAGCACAGCUGCAGGAAGAAGUCAGGGUGGAAUCCACACAGAGCGCAUUCCCAGGCUGGGAGCUACCAGAGUAUUUGACCUUGGGCACAGCUGGGGUGGCCCCGAUGGCGCUGCUGUCUGCUGAUGGUCUCCACAGCUUCCCCAGCGAGGCCUUCCUGGAAGGAGUGCUGAGCAGCAAAGCUCUGUGGUCACCACUCAGGACAAAGGGGAACCAGCUGAACAGAGCCUUUCAUGUGACAACAAAAAACGACCUGGCUCAAACAUCACGACAGGCAUCUGUGGAGCCUGGGAAAUGACCUUUCUCAUGGGGAGAACACAGAACACACAAAGCUUUCUCUUAAAAGUCUACAAAAUUAUAAUCUGAUAACAACAGAACGUUUUGGUAUUUUGAGUAAUAGGUGUCACAUCGGAAUUGAUAUUUGCCAAAUUUGGCAUGAUAA
rnacentral:lncRNA from 1 species